rnacentral:tRNA from 1 species
GCGAGAGUGGCGGAAUUGGUAGACGCACCAGAUUUAGGUUCUGGCGGGUAACACCGUGUGGGUUCGAGUCCCACCUUUCGCACCA